AUGGAUUGGCUGGACCUCACCUGCCGCACCGCGGUGUUGAUCCUCCUGUUCCUGCCGUUCGGUGCGUCCGACGACCGGCUUGUCCCCGGCAAGCAGCUCUCCCCUGGCAAUACCAUCGUCUCCGAUGGGGGUGCUUUCGCCUUGGGCUUCUUCUCCCCUACCAACUCCACGAGUAAUCCGGCCAAGUUGUAUCUUGGUAUAUGGUACAACGACAUUCCAGAGUUCACCGUGGUGUGGGUCGCUAACCGAGAAACCCCGGUCAUCAACAGCUCUUCCUCUUCACCGGUGCUCUCACUCACCAACACCUCCAAUCUCGUUCUUUCUAAUGGCGAUGGCAGCGGUCGUGUACUCUGGACGACGACCAACCUAUCCACUACACCGGGGUUGUCUACCCCUGCGGCGGUGCUUUUGAACACCGGUAACCUUGUUAUCCGGUCGUCAAACGGCACCACGUUGUGGCAGAGCUUCGACCACCACACCGACACGUACCUCCCAGGUAUGAAGCUUCGGAUCAAGUACAACACCCACGAUGGAGGUGACCGCCUCAUAUCCUGGAAAGGCCCCGGCGACCCCUCACCGGGCCGCUUCUCUUAUGGGAUCGAUCCCACCACAUGCCUCCAGAUGUUCCUCUGGGAUGGGGCACGCCCAGUGUUCCGCACCCCCCCGUGGACAGGGUACCUUGUGACGAGCGAGCGCCAGUACCAACAGGUGAACGCCAGCACAGAGAUCAUCAUCUAUCUUGCCGUCGUCGACAACGACAGGGAGAUCUACGUCACAUAUAGCCUCUCCGAUGGCGCCCCGCACACUAGGCAGGUGGUGACCUACUCCGGGGAGUACCAAGUACAGAGUUGGAACAAUAGGUUGUUGGCGUGGGAAAUCCUCGCGAACUGGUCCUCCCUCAAAUGCAGCCUCUACGGCUAUUGUGGCCCAUAUGGCUACUGCGAUCUGACGGCAGCACCCGUCCCAAUCUGCAAGUGCCUCGACAACUUUGAGCCGGCUAGCACGGAGGAGUGGACCAGUGGCAGAUUCUCUAAGGGGUGUCAUCGAAAGGAGCCACUAGACGAGUGCAGUGGUGAUUUCUUGGCCUUGCCGGGGAUGAAGCCACCAGACAAGUUCACACUCAUCGGCGAGGACGAGAGUACAUUCCAGGAGUGCGCAGCAGAGUGCAACCGCAACUGCUCCUGUGUGGCAUAUGCGUAUGCUAACCUGAGCAGCAGCAGGUCCGGAGGAAACGUGACAAGAUGCUUGGUUUGGGCCGGGGAGUUGAUUGACACGGCGAAGAUUGGUCCAGUAAUUGGUAGCGAGACACUCUAUCUCCGAAUUGCUGGCCUAGAUGUGGCAGAUGGUAAAAGGACAGAGAGCAAUGCAGGGAGGAUUGCACUACCAGUUUUAGCAACCGUUUUGGUACUCCUAUGCAUAGCCUUGGCAUGGUUAAAAUUUAAAGGUAAGAUCGAAAAGUGGAAAAAACACAAAACAAUAUCAUUGGAUGGCAUGACUACCUCUUAUGAACCUGAUGAAGGGAACCCUCACCAUGAUCGCAAAUUUCCAUUUGUAAGAUUUGAGGAAAUUGCCAUAGCAACUCACAACUUCUCUGAAACAUGUCAGAUUGGACAUGGGGGCUUUGGCAAAGUUUACAAGGGAAGGUUGGGUGGUCAAGAAGUUGCUAUCAAAAGGCUUAGUAAGGAUUCUCAACAAGGAACAAAGGAAUUCAGGAAUGAAGUAAUUCUAAUUGCCAAAUUGCAACAUAGGAACUUGGUUCAACUCCUUGGGUGUUGCGCCGCCAAAGAUGAAAAAUUGUUGAUUUAUGAGUAUAUGCCUAACAAGAGCUUGGAUGCUACCCUUUUUGAUGACUCAAGAAAAUUGUUACUAGAUUGGUCAACACGGUUUAAUAUAAUCAAAGGGAUUGCACGGGGACUUCUUUAUCUCCACCAGGAUUCAAGAUUGACAAUAAUUCACAGAGACCUGAAAGCUGGAAAUGUUUUGCUAGAUGCGGAGAUGAAACCAAAGAUAGCAGAUUUUGGUAUGGCAAGGAUCUUUGGUGAUAACCAACAAAAUGCAAACACUCAACGCGUUGUCGGGACCUAUGGCUACAUGGCUCCUGAGUAUGCAAUGGAAGGCCUCUUCUCUACCAAGUCCGAUAUAUAUAGCUUCGGUGUGUUGCUAUUAGAGGUUGUAACUGGUAUUAGAAGAAACUCCAAUAGUGAAACCAUGGUUUUCCCUAGCCUCAUUAUCUAUUCAUGGAAUAUGUGGAUAGAAGGGAGGGCAAAGGAGUUACCAGACUCAUCUAUCAUGGAUACUUGUUCAGUUGAUGAAGUUGUGCUUUGCAUCCAUGUGGCACUCUUGUGCGUCGAGGAGAACCCAGAUGACAGGCCGCUUAUGUCAUAUGUUCUGUUUGUCCUAGAGAAUGGAAGCACCCCACUUCCGGCCCCCAACCGCCCGGCCUACUUCGCGCGACGACGCAUUGAAAUGGAGCAAAUCAGAGAAGAUAUUCAGACUUCCGCAAACAGUUUUACUCUUACGGAAAUAGAGGGGCGUUGA
rnacentral:rRNA from 1 species